GUCUCUUCGGAGACAUCCGAUAAAAUUGGAACCAUACAGAGAAGAUUAGCAUAGCCCCUCCGAUAAAAUUGGAACCCUACAGAGAAGAUUAACAUAGCCUCAGCGCAAGGAUGACCAUGUAUCAUUAGAGACGGUCCAAAUCCAU
rnacentral:snRNA from 1 species